GAUCCGGAAUCAAAUAUAUUAUUUUCAACGCACGUAUCACCUGCAAAGGGACAAAUAAAUGUAAAGGAAAUCCGAUGAGAAAUCUAACAGUGCGAAGACGAUACGCGUCGACAACUUUAGGACUGGCAUCUGUGUGUGUGCGCGUAAGAAGAACGUUAUUGCUCUCAUCGCCAAGUGAAGGGAAAAAGGUCUUUAAAAACAGUUGUCGUCUUGGUCGUCGUAAUCAUCGUUGCUGUACUGCCGACGCUGACGGCGACGGCGACGGCGACGCCGACGUCGACGCCUGACGCUCUCGUUGUCUUCGUCUCCGUCUUCAUAUCGCUCUUAAUCACGAAGGCGCCGCGUUGCGGCGUUUUUGAUUCUGGCUGAGUAAAUACGCGUAAAUUCUCAUACAAUACUUAUUGUUAGUGGAUUCAGACCGCGCCAUAUAUCCACCGGAAAUAAGAGCCAUCUUCGCGCGGAUGCGUUUACAUCUUUCGGAUUGCCUCGCAUCUUUCAUUCUUUGUUUCUUGUGUCGAAUAAGACUGGUGCCAUGUGUCGUUUGUGUUUUUCUUUUACCUGCUCUUCGGUGACAUUGUGCAAACCAAAAUGUACUAGAACACAAUGACAAUCGGCACGAAACGUCGUGAAAUAUAUAAUUAAAUGAACGGUAUAUCGAUUAUAGCUACGUUUAAGUAGUGCAAGGGUAACAAUACUAGCGAUAUGUAGAGGAUACUUGAGUUUAAUCGAUUAUCGUUUUGACAUCACUUUUUCUAAUGUCUUAUAUAAAAAAGGUUUUUAUCAAGUUGAUAGAGAAAUGUUAAUGACGAGAGAGAAUUGGAUGUUUUGUGUGACUAAGUGACAAUUGAACGAUUAACAUUAUCACAUUAACCGAAAAAAGAAACUACCGAUGAAUACAUGCGACAGAAAUUCUGCGAAAGAAAGCCAAGAUUUAACUCAACAGUCAGCAGCGUUUCGUUCUAAGACGCACGAGACUAUUGUGUAACGUUCACAAAUGUAUAUGGGAAAUAAGGCGCGGGACUGUUAUGACGCAUACCGUGACUGACAGAGACGGACAGACGAUCUCGCCAUCGGUUUGAACGUGAGGUGGAAUGGGCCGCCGGCCGAUUCAACGGACACAACGUGUCAAAUGAAGAAAUUGGCACGGCAAAAAACACGUGCGCAAUCGGAAACGUUCAUUCGUAGGGGUAGGGGGGAGAGGCAAGCCAUGUUGGUCGCGCGUUUUGUCGCGCUUCGUCGCGCGUGCUCAACGGCGAAAAUAAACAGCGGCGUCGCGCUGUCUACUGUGCGAACCACGCGCACGCGCGACGAAGCCUGUACGCGUGGCUCGCGCUCGCCCUCAUCUAUUUAUUGUUCCUUACGAAUCGACCUGACUCUUUUUACGCCUAGCUCUGAAUUCAAAUUUACUUACCAACAUUAACCUCGUCGAUCUAAUGUGGAUUGCGUUGCGGCUGUUGCGAACGAACAGAGCAUGGCACACGGAGCCUCGCGCGUUUUAUAGUUCUCCCGACUUUUUAAAUCCUAUCCUGAGAAAGAUAGGGAGUUUUCCCCUAGAAAAAUCAUGAUGGCAAGAAGAGAUGAACCGUAGUGCGUGUUACUACUUCUCGAGUAACUUAAGCUUGACGAGUUUCGAGACACCUACUCGGAUAAAUGAUGACGAGAAAGUGUGAGGCAACAUUCAGAGUGAGAUUUUGCGAGAUUUAGCAAUCUUUCUGCUGGCUGUUCAACGAUGUAAUUGUCGAAAAAAAAUUAGGAUUAAAGUAGGAGUUUCGUAAUCAAGCCUUGUACAAUAAAUAAUUAUACUUGAUUUUAAUAAAAAUUUUAAAAUUU